ACCGGGGACGCCGCCGGGCUCGCGGCUGACAGCCAGUUAACAGGUAGCCAACGGCGGCAGCCRGGAUUGCUCAUGUAAAGCUCCCUUAGCGGAAAAAAAACAACGUUUCUGAACAGCGGAGGGUCCUCGAUUGCAGAUGAGCAAAUCUGGGAAUAAACAGGCAAAAAACCCUUGGGGGGGUCGGCAGGUUUGUGGGCGAGCACCCAAGCGGCGGGAGCAACGCAGCCUGCGAGGCGCGAGCGCGGCGGCUGUACGGCCGCGCGGGACACUGGUCGCACCCAGAGAGUCUCAUUUCGGGGGGGGGCUGUGCAAGGUCAGCUCCGCACGUGCGUGAGCCUCCCCGCACGGCGUGAAGAGCGAGAGGGUUUUACACGUGACCGCGGGCGCUCGCGCUGGGCAGGGUGUUGGUGCGGUUGCCCUGGUAGAAAGCUGCAGGGACAGCGUGUCCCCAAGGCUCUGUCUCCCCGACGUGUUCUGUCCCCAGCGCAGCAUCUGCUUGGAGUCAGGUCUCCCCUCCAUCACCGUAGCGGCCGUCGCAGUGAGGCUGUUCGUGGCUGCAGGCGCYGGUGACGUUUGACGACGUCUCCGUCUGCUUUUCGGAGUCAGAGCAGGGGAAGUUGGACGAGUGGCAGAAGGACCUUUAGAAGACCGUGAUGACGGGGAACUACGACUUGCCGAUCUCUCUGGGAGCAGAACCUGCUGUUCUUACCCCUGAAGUUGUCUCUUGGGCAGAAAAGGAUGACGAUCCCUGUGCCGGUGUUCGGGGAGACUCAGAAGAGCAAGACGUCCCCGCGAAUGGCGCCACCGCGGGCGAGUGGGGUCUGGGAUGGCUCGGCGGGUGCUGGGAGGAUCAGUCAGUGCGGGGACACCUCCGUCCCUUCCCCGACACAUUGCCCAUACCCGGGCAGCAGAUCCCCCCUCGGCCCCCUGUGCCGGUGGGUGGUGAACCGGGAGACGACUCUUUCUCUCCUUUUCCAGAACGACCUUGUAUCAAGCCUUUGUUUAACACA
rnacentral:lncRNA from 1 species